AUCUCAAUGCUUUAAAGAAAUACACUUAUGGAAAGCAUAUCGUUGCUCGUGUUGAAAAACUCGUUGCUGCUGGAGAGAGGAGAAUGGCUUUGCAGUCCCUAACCCAGCCUCAGAUGGCGUAAGGCCGCAAGUCUUGUACAGCUUAACUAGGGUGCAUGGCUCUGCCAUAGCGUUUUGAGAAUUAGGUAAGAUCUAAACCGGAAAUAAUCUGCGGGAAAAUUGUGAAGGAGAGCUUUGUUUUCUCUGCAAGAUCUGUAAAAUUGUGUAGUUGCUUACGGUUUUUCUAUACAUAGAACCAAACAUCCCACUUUAGGCUGAUGAGUAAGAGAGAAAAUAUGCAGAGAAUGGUGUAAAGAUGGGCUGAGAUAUGGUGAGGAUUUUAGGGUUUCCUUCACACGAAUGAGAAUGGCUUUUUCAUUGCCAAAUGUGUAGAAGUGAGAAUAUGUUCAUGCUUAGGACAAUCCCCAGUGUUUAGAGCUUUUUCUCCAUCUAUGUAAUUUGUUUCAUCAAACUCUUGUUUCUGUUUUCACGAAGAACUCUUUUGUUUCUGUAA